AUUCUUUCCUUCCUCUGCAGGCUGUAAGUAGUAUCACUUCCUGUGGGAGAUGCAAGGUAUUCUCUUCCUGUUGAGUCUAUGUUUUGAAGACCACUAGACCCUUGGAAAUAUUUCUGUGGAAGAAACCAUGAGGGAGCUUUACUGAUCCUCUGUCUCAAAGGGGCACACAACCACUACAAAUAGUUCUGGUCGUCAAAUCACUCCCCUAUUCAAAAACCUUGAGUGCUUCUCCAUGAAACGUCUUCCCAGCCUGGUCUUCAGUGCCUUUUCCGAGGAGGUCCCAUUGCUGUUCUCAGAUUCACUCUCAAUAGCCGCUCAGUGACCAUGUGGGAGUGAACUGUCGAAUCUGGAAUGUGCACUUGAUCAAGCAGGGUCAUCAGCUGGAAGGUUUACUAAGUCACGUUGUUCCAAGGGCCAAGCGCAUCCAUGAUAAAAAUAGCACAAACAAUAAAAAUAACAUUAAUCUAUAAUA
rnacentral:lncRNA from 1 species